rnacentral:rRNA from 1 species
UACGUAGGCAGCAAGCGUUGUUCGGAAUUACUGGGCGUAAAGAGUGUGUAGGCGGUGCUCUAAGUCUGUUGUGAAAUCUCCGGGCUUAACUCGGAAACUGCCGUUGAUACUAUCAGUCUUGAAUGUUGUGGAGGUAAGCGGAAUAUGUCAUGUAGCGGUGAAAUGCUUAGAUAUGACAUAGAACACCGAUAGCGAAGGCAGCUUGCUACACAAUAAUUGACACUGAGGCACGAAAGCGUGGGGAUCAAACAGG